rnacentral:rRNA from 1 species
GACGAACGCUGGCGGCGUGCUUAACACAUGCAAGUCGAACGGUGAAAGCGGAGCUUGCUCCGCUGGAUCAGUGGCGAACGGGUGAGUAACACGUGGGCAACCUGCCCCUCACUUCGGGAUAACUCCGGGAAACCGGGGCUAAUACCGGAGAUGACCUCCUUGGGCAUCCUUGGAGGUGGAAAGUUUUUCGGUGAGGGAUGGGCCCGCGGCCUAUCAGCUUGUUGGUGAGGUAGUGGCCCACCAAGGCGACGACGGGUAGCCGGCCUGAGAGGGCGAGCGGCCACACUGGGACUGAGACACGGCCCAGACUCCUACGGGAGGCAGCAGUGGGGAAUAUUGCGCAAUGGGCGAAAGCCUGACGCAGCAACGCCGCGUGCGGGAUGACGGCCUUCGGGUUGUAAACCGCUUUCAGCAGGGAAGAAGCCGCAAGGUGACGGUACCUGCAGAAGAAGCACCGGCUAACUACGUGCCAGCAGCCGCUGUAA